rnacentral:rRNA from 1 species
UACGUAGGGUGCGAGCGUUAAUCGGAAUUACUGGGCGUAAAGCGUGCGCAGGCGGUUUUGUAAGCCAGAUGUGAAAUCCCCGGGCUUAACCUGGGAAUGGCAUUUGGGACUGCAAAGCUUGAGUGUGGCAGAGGGGACUGGAAUUCCUGGUGUAGCAGUGAAAUGCGUAGAGAUCAGGAGGAAUACCGAUGGCGAAGGCAGGUCCCUGGGCUGACACUGACGCUCAUGCACGAAAGCGUGGGGAGCAAACAGG